rnacentral:lncRNA from 1 species
GACUGGCGGGGGGACGGCAGAAGAAGAGCACUGACCAGCACCGCAGUGAGGCCCCCGUGUUCGCACCGGGGGACCGGGUCUGGCCCUCGACCAGAAACCUGCCCCUCCGCCUGCCCUGCCAGAAGCUGGGGCCGCAGUGUGUGGGGCCAUUUAAAGUCCUGAGGAGGAUAAACGAGGUGUGUUACAGGUUACAACUUCCUACUUAUUAUCGUAUUAACCCCUCGUUUCAUGUGUCUCUCCUCAGGCCGGUGGUGGCUGGUCCCCUUCAAGAAGGUGAGGUGCCUGAGGUCCCUCCGCCCCCUCUGGACAUCGAGUCAAUGGACAUAGCGAGUCAUAAGCUCAAGAUUUGGCUUUCUUUACUUGGCUACAGGGGUAGCGAGCAAAACACCAGCGUUCAGCGAGCAGCUUGAACGGUGGCACGCUGAAGUAAGAGCACUGGCUUUUGGAAAAACCUGCGGACUACCGGGCGAGCAAAGAGAGAGAGACAGCCUACCGCUGUGUCGGUCGAGCAGAGAGCGGGAUCUCCGGCGGCUGAAGAGUGGUUCUUGAAUCGGCCAGAUACUGUUCCAUCCUCUUUUCUGCCAAUCAAGCAAAGAUGAGGACAACACCCAAACUGGCACGUAAGUAGCAUUACAGUCGAGAGUGGUCCGGGGACAGUGAAAAGCAGGCUGCGCCUAUAUGCAGUGCACUGCAGUGUGAUAGAGUAUCGCGUUAUGAGCUUCAGUGGUUCGUAGGUUAUUUUCCCAUUGGGUACUCGGACAUAAUUUAAAGCUUGCUCAACACUCGCAAACAUUAGAUUUCAAGUAGAUUUAUAUUAUAAAUAUCCAUCAUGUACGCGUUUAGUGGUUUGUUUUGUUUUUGUAAUGGCUUUGUUUGUUUUG